rnacentral:rRNA from 1 species
GUCGAGAGGCUUUGGCAAUGGGGGAAACCCUGACCAAGCGACGCCGCGUGGAGGAUGAAGGCCCUUGGGUUGUAAACUCCUUUUGUCGGGGAAGAAGUGCGAUCAGGUGAACAAUCUGGUCGUUUGACGGUACCCGGCGAAUAAGCUCCGGCUAACUCCGUGCCAGCAGCCGCGGUAACACGGGGGGAGCAAGCGUUGUUCGGAAUCACUGGGCGUAAAGGGCGUGUAGGCGGUCAUGUAAGUGGAAUGUGAAAUCCCUCGGCUUACCCGAGGACCUGCAUCCCAAACUGCAUGACUUGAGUACGGGAGAGGAUGAGGGAAUUCCUGGUGUAGCGGUGAAAUGCGUAGAUAUCAGGAGGAACACCGGUGGCGAAGGCGCUCAUCUGGCCCGUUUCUGACGCUGAGGCGCGAAAGCUAGGGUAGCGAACGGGAUUAGAAACCCCGGUAGUCC